UGUAUGCAUUGUCGUACACGUGUUGUUUGUGCUUUGCUUCACUGUCUUCUCAGCCAAUAAUAUUCUAAUUUCUGUAACCCACCGCCAUUGAUCCGACUGUCACCGCUUAUCAAUACAGGUUCCCCUUUCGUUGAAUUUUUCUCCUAAAUCCGAAAUCGCUGACUGUCUUCUUCUGCUCACUGCCGCUUCCUCCAUUCAUAUGUGUUCUGCUCCUACUCUUCUUCAUGUCACGAAUUCUUUCCAUCUGAUCCAUCUUUCUCCGGUGAGAUCGUCGGCCCUCACUACGGCGGCUGCCUAGCGCCGCCAUACCCAAUAUUCUCUCCAUUUGUGCUACUGACAGCAGCCCAACACUAAAGACCAAGUGCUGCUUCUCAUUAUUACAUUCUCAAAUGUCUUUCUACAAGUAAAUGUGAUUGACGCUUCCCGAGGGUUUUGCACAUUUGCCUCCAUCUAAUUUUCCACCUGCGAUUCUUCUGUUGUUCAGGGUUAUAUUGGGUCAUUGUGGUUCUGAUCAGAAAUACAGAUUCCUCAAAGCCAUCCCGACCUUCCAGGGUUCUAUUAUGACGUAGAGAAGAACAUAUAUUUUCCUGUAAAAUCACCAAUUCCAGGUUCUUCUUCUAGGAACAACUCUUCUGCUUCAACCAGCGCUCAAAAACCACCCCCGAAACCCAACAACAAGACGACAUAUGCAGCCAAAGUUGUCAAGAUGCUUCAUGUUAAGGAGCUAUGUGGUGAUUCAAUCAGCUGUAAAAAAAGAAGGUCAACUUUCAAGAGCAAUACCAAAAGAUACAUACAUCAAGACCUAUAAUUUGGAAAUAUAGAGGGUUGCUGAUGCUGCAUUAGAACACAUAUGCUUAGAUGUUUAGACUCCAAAUAGGCUUAUAUAAAAAGGUACCAUUUUUCACACCAGUCACCAAUCAUUAUCAUCUUCUGAUCCAGUCUGUGAUUUCGAUUUAGAAGAGAGAAGGAUUAGUAAUUGGCUUUGCGGGAAAGUGCAUGAGAUCGAGAAGCAAGAAGAGGGGUCGUCUUUUUCAAUGUUGAGAAUGACAACUUGGGAUACACACACAAAUAAAUAGAUGGUCCAAGAAGUUUAUGGGGCUUUAAUUUCGUUUAUGUGGGUUGGGCUGCCAUUGAUGAGGCUAACCAAUAGGUAUUUGUUUCUACUCAAAUUCUUUGAACAAUCUGGAAAAGGUAGUGCAUAAGGUUGCUCCGAGCUCAUAAGUAAUGGGCAGGAAAUCCGGGAAGAAAGUGGGAAUGGUGACAACUGUUCUUGGGCCUCAUGGGGUUGGGCUAAUUAGGCUUGAGGAAGCUUUCAAAGGGUCAGGGAAUUUAGUAAUCAGAGGAGAAGAAGAAGAUGUGAGGGUGGUGACUGAAACAUUUCCAUUAUCUCUCCGUGUGUGUGUGUAACUUUUUGACCGGUAUGUAAAUAAAGAUGAAAUAGCAACGAUAGGGUUUUGGAGUUGGCUGAUAUGGUUGAUAUAGGAAGAUAAGUCGUAGGCAUGAGGCAAGGGACGCAUACCAUGUGUUUGAUAAGAAUCCCCAACGAAAGUGCAUUUCAAAUGGACAAGUGUAGCUGACUGGCAUUGACCUUUUUAGCUUUUUUUUUGGGAAAAUCUUUCCUAAUCUAUGAUUAGGUAUGCAAUUGCCAUUAAUCUCAGUUCAUAUUAUCUAUAUGUUUAUAUUUUUGGGAAUUUUCACAUUAGUUUUUUCAUUGGCUAUAUUGGGUCCAUAUUUUAUAUGCGAUUAUGGAG